rnacentral:rRNA from 1 species
ACUAAGCGUACACGGUGGAUGCCCUGGCAGUCAGAGGCGAUGAAGGACGUGCUAAUCUGCGAUAAGCGUCGGUGAGGUGAUAUGAACCGUUAUAACCGGCGAUUUCCGAAUGGGGAAACCCAGUGUGUUUCGACACACUAUCAUUAACUGAAUCCAUAGGUUAAUGAGGCGAACCGGGGGAACUGAAACAUCUAAGUACCCCGAGGAAAAGAAAUCAACCGAGAUUCCCCCAGUAGCGGCGAGCGAACGGGGAGGAGCCCAGAGCCUGAAUCAGUGUGUGUGUUAGUGGAAGCGUCUGGAAAGGCGCGCGAUACAGGGUGACAGCCCCGUACACAAAAAUGCACAUAUUGUGAGCUCGAUGAGUAGGGCGGGACACGUGGUAUCCUGUCUGAAUAUGGGGGGACCAUCCUCCAAGGCUAAAUACUCCUGACUGACCGAUAGUGAACCAGUACCGUGAGGGAAAGGCGAAAAGAACCCCGGCGAGGGGAGUGAAAAAGAACCUGAAACCGUGUACGUACAAGCAGUGGGAGCCUCUUAAUGGGGUGACUGCGUACCUUUUGUAUAAUGGGUCAGCGACUUAUAUUCUGUAGCAAGGUUAACCGAAUAGGGGAGCCGAAGGGAAACCGAGUCUUAACUGGGCGUUAAGUUGCAGGGUAUAGACCCGAAACCCGGUGAUCUAGCCAUGGGCAGGUUGAAGGUUGGGUAACACUAACUGGAGGACCGAACCGACUAAUGUUGAAAAAUUAGCGGAUGACUUGUGGCUGGGGGUGAAAGGCCAAUCAAACCGGGAGAUAGCUGGUUCUCCCCGAAAGCUAUUUAGGUAGCGCCUCGUGAAUUCAUCUCCGGGGGUAGAGCACUGUUUCGGCAAGGGGGUCAUCCCGACUUACCAACCCGAUGCAAACUGCGAAUACCGGAGAAUGUUAUCACGGGAGACACACGGCGGGUGCUAACGUCCGUCGUGAAGAGGGAAACAACCCAGACCGCCAGCUAAGGUCCCAAAGUCAUGGUUAAGUGGGAAACGAUGUGGGAAGGCCCAGACAGCCAGGAUGUUGGCUUAGAAGCAGCCAUCAUUUAAAGAAAGCGUAAUAGCUCACUGGUCGAGUCGGCCUGCGCGGAAGAUGUAACGGGGCUAAACCAUGCACCGAAGCUGCGGCAGCGACACUAUGUGUUGUUGGGUAGGGGAGCGUUCUGUAAGCCUGUGAAGGUGGCCUGUGAGGGUUGCUGGAGGUAUCAGAAGUGCGAAUGCUGACAUAAGUAACGAUAAAGCGGGUGAAAAGCCCGCUCGCCGGAAGACCAAGGGUUCCUGUCCAACGUUAAUCGGGGCAGGGUGAGUCGACCCCUAAGGCGAGGCCGAAAGGCGUAGUCGAUGGGAAACAGGUUAAUAUUCCUGUACUUGGUGUUACUGCGAAGGGGGGACGGAGAAGGCUAUGUUGGCCGGGCGACGGUUGUCCCGGUUUAAGCGUGUAGGCUGGUUUUCCAGGCAAAUCCGGAAAAUCAAGGCUGAGGCGUGAUGACGAGGCACUACGGUGCUGAAGCGACAAAUGCCCUGCUUCCAGGAAAAGCCUCUAAGCAUCAGGUAACAUCAAAUCGUACCCCAAACCGACACAGGUGGUCAGGUAGAGAAUACCAAGGCGCUUGAGAGAACUCGGGUGAAGGAACUAGGCAAAAUGGUGCCGUAACUUCGGGAGAAGGCACGCUGAUAUGUAGGUGAAGCGACUUGCUCGUGGAGCUGAAAUCAGUCGAAGAUACCAGCUGGCUGCAACUGUUUAUUAAAAACACAGCACUGUGCAAACACGAAAGUGGACGUAUACGGUGUGACGCCUGCCCGGUGCCGGAAGGUUAAUUGAUGGGGUUAGCGGUAACGCGAAGCUCUUGAUCGAAGCCCCGGUAAACGGCGGCCGUAACUAUAACGGUCCUAAGGUAGCGAAAUUCCUUGUCGGGUAAGUUCCGACCUGCACGAAUGGCGUAAUGAUGGCCAGGCUGUCUCCACCCGAGACUCAGUGAAAUUGAACUCGCUGUGAAGAUGCAGUGUACCCGCGGCAAGACGGAAAGACCCCGUGAACCUUUACUAUAGCUUGACACUGAACAUUGAGCCUUGAUGUGUAGGAUAGGUGGGAGGCUUUGAAGUGUGGACGCCAGUCUGCAUGGAGCCGACCUUGAAAUACCACCCUUUAAUGUUUGAUGUUCUAACGUGGGCCCCUUACCGGGGUUGCGGACAGUGUCUGGUGGGUAGUUUGACUGGGGCGGUCUCCUCCUAAAGAGUAACGGAGGAGCACGAAGGUUGGCUAAUCCUGGUCGGACAUCAGGAGGUUAGUGCAAUGGCAUAAGCCAGCUUGACUGCGAGCGUGACGGCGCGAGCAGGUGCGAAAGCAGGUCAUAGUGAUCCGGUGGUUCUGAAUGGAAGGGCCAUCGCUCAACGGAUAAAAGGUACUCCGGGGAUAACAGGCUGAUACCGCCCAAGAGUUCAUAUCGACGGCGGUGUUUGGCACCUCGAUGUCGGCUCAUCACAUCCUGGGGCUGAAGUAGGUCCCAAGGGUAUGGCUGUUCGCCAUUUAAAGUGGUACGCGAGCUGGGUUUAGAACGUCGUGAGACAGUUCGGUCCCUAUCUGCCGUGGGCGCUGGAGAACUGAGGGGGGCUGCUCCUAGUACGAGAGGACCGGAGUGGACGCAUCACUGGUGUUCGGGUUGUCAUGCCAAUGGCACUGCCCGGUAGCUAAAUGCGGAAGAGAUAAGUGCUGAAAGCAUCUAAGCACGAAACUUGCCCCGAGAUGAGUUCUCCCUGACUCCUUGAGAGUCCUGAAGGAACGUUGAAGACGACGACGUUGAUAGGCCGGGUGUGUAAGCGCAGCGAUGCGUUGAGCUAACCGGUACUAAUGAACCGUGAGGCUUAACC